rnacentral:rRNA from 1 species
CCUACGGGAGGCUGCAGUGGGGGAUAUUGCACAAUGGGGGAAACCCUGAUGCAGCGACGCCGCGUGGGCGAAGAAGUAUUUCGGUAUGUAAAGCCCUAUCAGCAGGGAAGAAGAAAUGACGGUACCUGAGUAAGAAGCACCGGCUAAAUACGUGCCAGCAGCCGCGGUAAUACGUAGGGGGCAAGCGUUAUCCGGAUUUACUGGGUGUAAAGGGAGCGUAGACGGCAGUGCAAGUCUGGAGUGAAAGGCGGGGGCUCAACCCCCGGACUGCUCUGGAAACUGUACGGCUGGAGUGGAGGAGAGGUAAGUGGAAUUCCUAGUGUAGCGGUGAAAUGCGUAGAUAUUAGGAGGAACACCAGUGGCGAAGGCGGCUUACUGGACUGUAACUGACGUUGAGGCUCGAAAGCGUGGGGAGCAAACAGGAUUAGAUACCCUAGUAGUC